UACAGAGGGUGCGAGCGUUAAUCGGAAUUACUGGGCGUAAAGCGCGCGCAGGCGGCUAUCCAAGUCAGUGGUGAAAGCCCGGAGCUCAACUCCGGAACUGCCAUUGAAACUGUUUAGCUUGAGGACGAGAGAGGUGAGUGGAAUUCCCAGUGUAGAGGUGAAAUUCGUAGAUAUUGGGAAGAACACCAGUGGCGAAGGCGGCUCACUGGCUCGUAUCUGACGCUCAGGCGCGAUAGCGUGGGGAUCAAACAGG
rnacentral:rRNA from 1 species